rnacentral:misc_RNA from 1 species
AAGUCGUAACAAGGUUUCCGUAGGUGAACCUGCGGAAGGAUCAUCAAUAGUCCAAAACAUUACUUGACCGUCAUGGUCCUGUAAUAAAACACCUUCUUGUGCACUGUUGUUAUGUCAUGGUAGACUGGGAGUGUUCCUGUUAUUAUUGUUGCUGCUGCUGCUGCUUAAUUGUAGUGGUGGCGAUGAUGAUGCGCCUCCCAGCCUGCCGUCUGUUAUCACACAAACACCGUUAUUUCAAAGUCUGAUUCUUGUUGUAUUGUCACUGUGUAACAGCAGAGAUGAGUAAUACUACUACUGAUACAACUUACAGCGAUGGAUCUCUUGGUUCUG